CCUACGGGGGGCAGCAGUGGGGAAUAUUGGGCAAUGGACGCAAGUCUGACCCAGCAACGCCGCGUGAAGGAAGAAGGCUUUCGGGUUGUAAACUUCUUUUAAGGGGGAAGAGCAGAAGACGGUACCCCUUGAAUAAGCCACGGCUAACUACGUGCCAGCAGCCGCGGUAAUACGGAGGAUGCGAGCGUUAUCCGGAUUUAUUGGGUUUAAAGGGUGCGCAGGCGGGAGAUCAAGUCAGCGGUAAAAUGUCGGGGCUCAACCCCGGCCGGCCGUUGAAACUGGUUUUCUAGAGUUGGAGAGAAGUA
rnacentral:rRNA from 1 species